rnacentral:rRNA from 1 species
UACGAAGGGGCUAGCGUUGCUCGGAAUCACUGGGCGUAAAGGGUGCGUAGGCGGCGCGGAUAGUCGGCGGUGAAAGCCCGGAGCUCAACUCCGGGUCGGCCGUCGAUACUUCCGGGCUUGAGCACUGUAGAGGCAGAUGGAAUUCCGGGUGUAGCGGUGGAAUGCGUAGAGAUCCGGAAGAACACCGGUGGCGAAGGCGGUCUGC